AGCGGGUGUAGUUCAAUGGUAGAACUUCAGCCUUCCAAGCUGAUAGCGUGGGUUCGAUCCCCAUCACCCGCUU
rnacentral:tRNA from 1 species